rnacentral:rRNA from 1 species
AUUGAACGCUGGCGGCAGGCCUAACACAUGCAAGUCGAACGGUAACAGGGAUCAGCUUGCUGAUUCGCUGACGAGUGGCGGACGGGUGAGUAAUGUCUGGGAAACUGCCUGAUGGAGGGGGAUAACUACUGGAAACGGUAGCUAAUACCGCAUAACGUCGCAAGACCAAAGAGGGGGACCUUCGGGCCUCUUGCCAUCGGAUGUGCCCAGAUGGGAUUAGCUAGUAGGUGGGGUAACGGCUCACCUAGGCGACGAUCCCUAGCUGGUCUGAGAGGAUGACCAGCCACACUGGAACUGAGACACGGUCCAGACUCCUACGGGAGGCAGCAGUGUGGAAUAUUGCACAAUGGGCGCAAGCCUGAUGCAGCCAUGCCGCGUGUAUGAAGAAGGCCUUCGGGUUGUAAAGUACUUUCAGCGGGGAGGAAGGGAGUAAAGUUAAUACCUUUGCUCAUUGACGUUACCCGCAGAAGAAGCACCGGCUAACUCCGUG